AUGCCUAGCAGAGACGCGCAGUUUUCUAAAGGAAAAAGAAAAGAAAACACAGAACGCGCACCGCGCUGCUGUUCUGGGGAAUCCAUGGAAGCGGCAACGGCGAGCUCGGUGGUAGGAUCGAGGGCCGAGUUCGGGUCCCGCCUAGGGCUCGCGAGGCCUUGGCUCAGACCCAGCGGCGGCCGCGGCGGUCCUCACACCCCUCUCCCGUUUCGCCAUCUGCCAUGGCCGACCUCGCGCCUCGUCCGCAGCAGAGCAGUCCGGGCGCGGAGCGUCGUCGCCGCCGCAAAUCCUCACCAGCAGCAGGCCGGAGUGGGAGGAGGAGAGGCGAUGGAGCCCGAGAGGGGCAGCCCCCACGAGGUGAGGGAGGAGAUUGCGAGGUGCUACGAGCUCGUCCGCCGCCUCGGCCGUGGCGCCGUCUACCUCGGCUCCUCCAGGGUGCCGGCCGCGCACCCCCACUACCGCCAGACCGCCCAGCUCGCGGCGGAGAUAGCCAAGCUGCUGGACUGCACCACAUGGACGGGCGCCGGCCCCGGCCUCAUGGAUGCUGCCACCCAGGGCGCCCUCGAGGCGGGCAAGCCGGUCGGCGGCUUCAGGAUCGGCAAGGAGGCCGGUGAAUGGACAGCCUCGAACUUCCACCCUUACCUGCCCUCGGAGACCUACCUCACCUGCAGGUUCUUCUCGGCAAGGAAGCAUGGCUUAGUGGACGCUGUAGUGCGCAACAGCUCCGCGGACAAAACCGCCAUCGUCGCAUUGCCCGGCGGCAUUGGGACGCUGGAUGAGCUUUUUGAGAUCAUGGCGCUGAUUCAGCUGGAGAGGAUCGGAUCGGCUCUACCGGUCCCGUUAUUGCUGAUGAAUUAUGACUCUUACUACUCCAAACUGCUGGAGUUUCUGAAUGACUGCGAGGACUGGGGCACAGUUGCUCCUGGGGAAGUGGCAUCGCUGUGGAAGAUUUGCAGUGGGAACCACGAAGCCUUGGAGUACUUGGCACAGUUCUACGAUGUGCCUACGGGGGAAAGGAAUUAUGGCAUAUCAUCACCGCCGUCGAAGGUAGACAGGGUUCCUUUCUACACCGUCAGGAGAUGA
rnacentral:rRNA from 1 species